rnacentral:piRNA from 1 species
UUGACAGUGAUGAGUCAAAUGCACCAGC